GGUGGCAUGGCUCAGGAGGUAGAGCGGGUGGUCUAAAAAUCAGAAGGUUCUUGGUUCAAUCCCCAGCUCCUGCCA